rnacentral:rRNA from 1 species
UUAGUGGCGGACGGGUGAGUAACGCGUGGGUAACCUGCCUUACACAGGGGGAUAACACUUAGAAAUAGGUGCUAAAACCGCAUAAGCGCACAGCUUCGCAUGAAGCGGUGUGAAGAACUCCGGUGGUGUAAGAUGGACCCGCGUCUGAUUAGCUUGUUGGCGGGGUAACGGCCCACCAAGGCGACGAUCAGUAGCCGGCCUGAGAGGGCGGACGGCCACAUUGGGACUGAGACACGGCCCAGACUCCUACGGGAGGCAGCAG